AUACAGCAGGCCAGUUGCAGGAAUGAAAUAUUUGGUGUUUAUUUUUCGAGUUUUGUAUUUGUCUUUUUGUCGUUUACUUCAGUUUAAAAAUAUUUUCGCCAGCGGCAGUGUAUUUUGCAUGCGAUUUUAUGAGAUGUGCUGGUAAAUUUAUAUAAUUGACUUCUGAUAAUAUCGCAUCCAAUGGAGCACUGUCACCGGCCUAAAUACUGGUUAUGGGACAGCUUCUAAGUCCAUAUCCGGAAUUGAACCUGAACCCAUACCAGUCCUGAAAUCAAACUUUAAGCCGUAUUGGUCUUGGAACUGAUCCCGAACCUAAAUCGGUCCAAGAACUGAACUCGAAUCAUUUUUGGAAUUGGUCCUGUCCCAAAUCUGCCCUAGAACUGAUCCCAUACUGUUCGUUCAUAAUAGACCGGUCACGAAAUUGUUACGGAACCCAAAUCGGUCCUAGAACUGAUACCGAACCCGUAUCAGUUCUGGAACUGGUCCUGUCCCAAACCUGCCCUAGAACUUAUCUUGAACCCAUACCGUUCCCGUAAUAGAUCUCGUAUCCAUACCGGUUACGGAACUGAUACCGAGGUCUUUAUAGGCUCUGGAACCAAUCUUCAACUCAUCCCCGUACUAGAACUGAAAUUGAACUGAUAUAUCUGUCCUGGAAAUGAUAUAAAAUCCAUACUGGUUCUGAAUCCUUAACUGAAUCUCUGCUGGAACUGAUACCGUACCUCCAGCCAUUACGGAUCCAUCUCGUUUUUUUUAUUCUUAUAUGCCUCAAUUAUGGCCUACUCCGAUUAUAAACUAUAUGCAAAUGAAAGGAAAAUAUGAACGCGUUUCGGGUAC